rnacentral:tRNA from 1 species
UCCGAUAUGGUGUAGUGGCCAACAUGAUGCCCUCUCAUCUUCAGCGAGAGGUUAGGCAUAGCCCCGAGUUCGAUUCUCGGUUUCGGAA